UACGUAGGGUGCAAGCGUUGUCCGGAAUUAUUGGGCGUAAAGAGCUCGUAGGCGGUUUGUCGCGUCUGCUGUGAAAACUCGGGGCUUAACUCCGGGCCUGCAGUGGGUACGGGCAGACUAGAGUGCGGUAGGGGAGACUGGAAUUCCUGGUGUAGCGGUGAAAUGCGCAGAUAUCAGGAGGAACACCGGUGGCGAAGGCGGGUCUCUGGGCCGAAAUUGACGCUGAGGAGCGAAAGCGUGGGGAGCAAACAGG
rnacentral:rRNA from 1 species